GACUGUUUUACCAAAAACAUAGCUUCUAGAAAUAAUUAGAAGUAAAAUCCUGCCCGGUGAAAGCAAUUUUAAACGGCCACAAUCGUGCUAAGGUAGCGUAAUCAGUUGUCCUUUUACUGAGGACUAGUAUGAAAGGAAAAACGAGGCUCAACUGUCUCUAUUAAAAAAAUAAAAAUUAGUUUUUAGAUGAAAAAAUCUAAAUGAAAUUAAAGGACGAAAAGACCCUAUAGAGUUUAAAUAUAAUUAUUCUAUUCACAAAUUAAACAAAACGAAUAGGAUAAGUAUUUUAAUUGGGGCAACAUAGGAACAAGAAAUUUCCUUAUAGUAAACAUUUAACAUCAUAAAAAUAAAAAUCCUCAAAGAGAUAAAGAAAAACUACCUUAGGGAUAACAGCGUAAUUUUUCUAAAGAGACCUAAUCGAAAGAAAAGUUUGCGACCUCG
rnacentral:rRNA from 1 species